rnacentral:lncRNA from 1 species
GAGUGAGGGUGUGGACCCUCCGCCUGGGGGCCCUCGGUGGGCUCGAUCCCAGCCCAGCCUCCGCAGUGACUGAGAUCGUAUCUCUGCCCCACCUUCCACUGAGGGCGGCCAGUAGCAGGAGCCAGGAGGAGUCCCCUCCGCCCCCAUGCUGCCUUGGCUGUGGACCUGAUCACGACCCACCGUCUUGGCGGAGAGGAGAGCUCUGCACCGAGGAGUGGCACGGGGCACCGAGGGCAUCCGACAGGGAGCCUCCCCUUCUCUCUCCUUCUCUCUGGCCCCUGAGGAAGGAGCUGCCCCCAGAGGGGGCUCCUCUGUCCCCUCUCUGGCUGCAGCUAGAAGUUAGUGGCCAGGGCAGGGGCUUCCCUGGCUCUCCAUGCCCUACCUAAGGCUACUGUCCUGGUCACUUUCCUGUCACUGGAACACAACAUCCAACACCCCCAACUUAGAGGAGGCGAGGCUCACUGGGGCUCACCGUUUCAGUCCGUGGUCAGCUGGUUCAUGGUCAGCUGGUGGAAGGUGAUGCAGAGGAAAAAGCUGCUCGCCCCAUGGUGGCCAGGAAGCAGAGAAAGGGGAGGAAUUGGGGACAAGAAUGCGCCCCUUCCAGGCCACGCCCUGUGACCACCUCCACCCAGACCCAGCCUCCCAGCAGCGCGUUCAUCCUCUCGUCCAUGGAUGGAUCCUCCGACCAAUAUGGUGGCCCAUGGUCCAGUCCCUGCCACGGGUGAGCCUUUAGGGGGACAUUAUAGAUCUAAAUCAUACCACUUGUCUUUAUCUUUCCUACAGCUUCCCAGGGGUCAGCAGGAGUGUUCAUAGCAAUUCAAUCAAUAGUCAAUCAAAAGUCAAGCCCCCUGCCAGCUGUUAAUGGACUCCGCAAAAUAUCUACCCAAUGCCAUGCUCUCCCGCGCCCUCUAGUGCUGGACAGAGUGAUGACCAAGACAUAGCUGGCUCUCCUGGAGAAGCCCAGAGAGAGAGAGACCGGAAACGCUGGCUUAGCAAAUAUGCACACGGGAACACAGGACAGCAAAUGAGAUAAAUACACACCAGCAGGGAAAAGCAGGGGUGCCUCAAGGGAGGAUCGCACUCUGGGAGGCUGAGGUAGGAGGGUGGCAAACUGGAGCUCAGCCUGGCCAACUCAGCAGCUUAGUGAGACCUUAGUGAGACCUUGUCACAAAAAGAAGAUGGAUUUUGGCUUAGAGGGAGGAGUGACAAGAAAGACUGCUCUGAGAAUGGGCAGAGCCCAGAGCAAGGGGAGGUCUUAGCCCAGGGAGGGUGGAGGCUGCCAGGGAGAGGAUGUGUUCAUGUGCAAGAGCCUCUGGUGGUGCCAGAAACACUGAGGCAGGGGUGGUGGGAGCUUCGCCAGGGCAAAGGAAGGGCAGGGAGGACCUGGUUAAAGGACGGUGGCCUUGGAGACUCCUUUAAAGGGUCCACAGGGCUUCCUGUCUGUGUUCAGGCUCACGUCUGUUUCCUGGCCGGCCCCAGGUCCCCUGAAGCAUCGCUCCUGCCGUGAGCAGCAGGAGACUUGCAUGGCUGUCCACUGGGCACACUGGCCACAUGACUGCUGGGCGAGAACCAAGCACGAGGCCGUCCCCUCCUACCUCUGGUCUGUCCCUCUCUUCCUGUCGGGGAAUACAUGCCAUUACCUGAGCUGGCAGGUGGCCUCCUCCCCCGAGGGCCCCACAGAGCUGAAAAGCCCCAUGGGGUCUCCAGAGCCGAAUGUUUGAUUGCCCGCCCAGUCUUGCAAGUGGAACCACCAUUUUUCAGAAUCUAGGCAGAAUUCCCAAGACGGAGUGGCAGGGGUUGCCCACUGUCCCUUCUGGGUCACGCAGAAAGAGAGCACCCCAUCCCUCUGGCUGUGUAGGGCACAGAGUCCCGGGUCUGCUCUGAUGACCCCAGGCCGCGGACAGGGCUGCUGCUGCUGCCCGAGAACCAGAGAGAGGGACAAGACCACGCUGACGCAGGCAGCGCUGCAGUCACACGCAGAGCCUGGUGGCUAUCACCUUGGAGUCAGGGAAGGGCCUGAUGUCUGGGGCUCUGUUCGGGAACAGACUGGCUCAGGGAUGGAGAGCCACAGCAGGUCUGUGUGUGUCCUUCAAGCCGUGCUUGUUCCCUGGGGAAGCCCUUCGUCUUUGCUGUCGUGCAUGGGAUCCUCAGGCCUUGGAGAGGACACGCUGUGUGGGGCAGGUGCUGCCCGUGAGCUCUGUCCACAGCCAUUGACCGCCACCCUGACAGUGCAUUUUAAGAAGAGGAAGUACAGGCAAAGAGGUUUCGCAUCCUGCUGCCAGACUGGGAGCCCCCAGGGCUGAGAUUUCAGCCCCUCCCUUAGCCCUGCCUUGGCUUUAGCCCCGCCUGCCUGAGCAAGUAGGGACCGGAACAGCUGGCACGGCCACCUCGGAGCAGCAGUGUCCAUCUGGCACCUGCCAGUGUCCCUGAGCCUAACCUGUGAUGUCGUGAAGACCAAACACGGGCCCACUGUUUCAUUUCACCGUGUACGUUGUCGUUUUCGCCUUGUGAUGGGUUAUUUUGUUUUGUUUUUCUUCGGUGGUGGAUGGAGGCUUCCUUGCUUGUUCUGCUGCUAUCCCAGGCAUUUAUCCUCAUCCCAGCAGAUGGUCUCAGGUGUUCUUUUUGCAAGCCACAACCAAAGACCUUCCCAACCCCAGCCAGCCUUGGCAGAUACUGCCCCUAAGCAUGAAACUCUUUAAAAAACAACAACAACAGUGAUUUGAGGCCAGAACCCUUAUCUCCUUCAGCUCACCUACCGCAGCCAGCACUGUCAGGACUCUGUGCGUUCUUCGCUGAGCUCCAGGGAGAGCUUAUGGGCCUGCAGGACAGAGUUGAAAUUCAACUUAUUGUUGACUUUAGUGGAUUUUGGAGGGAGGAACAAAAAUCUAUUCCAUUAUUCCCUUUGUGCAUUGUUACAGCUUAUAUCUAGAUGUCCCUCCAAAGCCUCACACACUCAUAGUGGGACUUUGGGGAGGUGGCUGGAUCAUGGGAGCAUGGUAACUGAAUUGUCCACUGAUUGUUAGCAUGGCUCUGGGUGUGGCUGAGGGAUUUACUGAAGACAGAAGACCCACAUGAGUGUGAGUGGUCCCAACCAAUAGGCUUCCAGCCUGAAUGGAAUAAAAGGGAAAUGGAGGCUCCCUGGCUUCCGCCUGCCUACCCUGCCAUGGACUGUUUCUCAUCUUGGAUGCCCUUCUGCCAUGCCACCCUGCCUUGGAGCUAGUCAACUGUGGACUGAAACUUCUACAAAUUGUGGGCUGAAAUAAACCUUUUCUCCUUUAACCUGUAGAUGUCAGGUAUUUUGUCUCAGCAAUGUGGAAAGUAAUUUAAGACAUCCCCAAAAGGAAAGCCUCAUAAGGAGUUUCACACAGACCAAAGAAAGAGUUUGAAAUUGCUGUUGUAACAGGCAUUUGCAAAGGAGCCAGUUUUGAUAGAAAAAGAGACUGAAAUCAGUAAGCAAGGACCCCGGGAGGCUCCAGGCUUCUCCCUCGGGAGGCGUCACAUGGGGGAGGAGCCCUCGAGUGUAGACAUAAAACCGUGGGGAAGAGCCACGCAGUCCCAGGCCUGGCUGUUCAACACCAGCAAAGAUGCAGACACACUGCCGGGUGUGCAAGUCCCUGAGAUCUAGCCCCGAGAGAACGGGCUUGUCUUUUUAUCAUUUGAGUGUUUUUACAAUUAUAAAGUCAAGCAUUUAAAUAUCCACCAGAACAAAGUACAAAUAAAAGCCUCCUUCCUCGGUUACUUUGGUCAGUGUGGGGUCUGAGGCGUCCACCCCACAUGGUCCCCAGACCUCCCGUCAGUCACCCCCUUGGUUUUCAGCUAGUAGGCCAAACGGCACUGACCACCUGGGCUCCCAGCCCCACCAGAUCCACCCAGCCCCACUGCCGGCCUCCUGUGGCUCCUCACGGGUCCUGUGUGAAGCCCCACGCUGUCCCCUGUGGGGACCUCGCCCAGGUGCCCUGCUGCUCUCUCCCUCCCUCUGCCCUGCCCUGGGUGAGGGACCCUCCCGUGAGGACGGUGGCUUCCCUCCCGCACCGCACCCUGCCUCUGGGUUGUGUCUCCCUGGGGCCCACGCGGGUCCCCUCCCGCCAGCACCCCAGCCGCGCGCGGUGUCCAGUGUGGGUGCUGAGUGAGCACCAACCAUGGAGCUGCCCCCCACGACAUCACCUGCCCGCCCCAGCCCUCAUCCCCACCAGCCCAUGGGAGGCCCCCGUCACUGACCCCCAUGGCAGCUCAGCCCUGGAAUCUGCACACCCUUGUAUCCAGUCCUGUUUCCCCAUGUGGCCACUAAUGCUUUCGCCACAGGGAGCUGCCUGGAGGCCACUGGGACCAGGAGCUGUGAUGCACAGAAAGAGCCCGAGGCUGCCAUCCCUGAGUCUGGAGCAGGUCACAGACACAGCCGGGUGCUUGGAGACACCGCGUGACCCUCGCUAUGCACGGGCUCACCGAGGUGUCUCCCCUCAGGGCACGGGCCUGGGGCUCCGGCUCUUUGCCCACCCCGACCUGUCAUGUGCCCACCUGCACGCCAUGCUUUGGGGACACUGCAGUCCUGUGGGCGCCUGCUCCUCUCUCCCCGCUCCCUAAAGUGCCCGUGGUGCUCCUCCAGGAGCCGCCAAGCAAGACCAGGCCCAAGCGCCCAAGAGACAGCACCUUCCACUCAGGGAAAGAGUGCCCUGGGGAGGACGCCCUGCAGUGACUCAGGACCCCAUCAAAAGUCCUUGCCCUUCCACUCUACACCUCAUGGUGCCAAGACGGCCGCUGCCAUGCAAGCCAGCAGCUUCAUAUUCCAGGAGGAAGAAAGGGGAGGUAGAAGAGCCAGUGAUAUCCCUUCCUUUUGUCAGGAGACAUAGACUUCCCAGAAACCUCCACCCUCACCCAGCAAACUACCACUUACAUCUCACUGGCCAGAUCCCUGUCACCAGCACCCACAGCCACAGGGAUGCAGUCAGUGAGGAAUCCACUACACCGCGUGGGAUGGCCGAGGCAGGGAGGAGCAGAUCAGUAACAGCGGGACAGUUAGCGGCUAUGGGAGCCUCUGCCAAACCUGUCAGUUAUUUUUUACCCUGACAACCGUUUCAUGGAGUUGGUGGCCAAAGCAGUACAUUCACCGUCACUUCAUAAAGACUUAAAAUCACUCCCCUGUCGCUUAGAAGUAACCACCGCUCUCCCCGUUUACUCUUCCAGCUCUUUGUAUUUUUUAACGUGGAUAGAACCACUCUAUGAGUUGCUCUAUAAUUUCAGUCUUUUCUGAUAUUGUAAAAAAAUAUAUAUUUCCAGAUCACUGAAUGUUCUGUGUAGAAUCACGACUCACGCCUGCGUGUUCUGCUCAAUGAGGUUCCACGGUUUGUUUGUUCAGUUGCUCUGUGCUCGGCUUUGGGUGUUUACAACAGCAGAAUCUGACAAAGCAGCGCUAGCGACUCUCCUCCUACCGAAGCCUUGCAGCUCACAGUAUCCCUCGGGAAUGUAUCGUAAGCAAAGCGCCGUGGGUGUGCACAUCCUUUAGAGCUUUUGAUCCCUGCCAGAUUGUCUUUCCAGAAGGGCCGUUCCAGUGAAUAGUCGAAUCGCUCAGCCUUCCUGUCACUGAACACAAUGCCCGACACCCACAACGUAAACAAGGAAAGGUUUCAUUUGGCUCUUGGUUUCAGAGGAUUCAGUCCAUGGUCACUGCCCCAACGUCAUGGCAGACAGGCAUGGUGGAAGAGAUCUGCUUAGUUCAUGGUGGCCAGCAAGCAGAGCAGGAAAAGGUGCCAGAGAGGAAGGGGCCAGGGACCAGGGGCCAGAUACAGUCCCCAAGGCCAUGCCUCCAUGACCCCUACCCAGAACAUGCUCUACUGAUGCCUGUGUGUCUCCCAAGCCAUCAAGUUGACAGGGUUCACUGUCUCAGCAAUGCUUUCAACAGACCUGUCCACUGGUGACCCAAUCUGUCCCCUCAUUUCCUAGUGAGCCUCACACAAGCCCCACAGUGUUUGGACCCAGACCUAAGCACCAAAGUCUGGCUCUUCUGGGCUCCUCAAGGCGAGGGCCAGGGCCAGAAGACUUGGGGACACUGAUCAGCGGGCCACGCAUCUGGGCAGUGCCCGGUCUCAUCCCAGACACACAUUUGCUUCGGAUGCAGAACCGUGUUGCCACAAGCUUUGUGACCAUGGGCUUCGCACUGAGGGUCAGUAAAAAGAGGAAACUGGGGUCAGAGCCAGUUGUUCUUGCCAGCCAGCAGGUCGGCGAGAGACUGAGUUGUGUCCCCACGGAGUGGUAUGUUGAAACUUGAAGUCCCAUGGUGACUGGGUUUGGAGAUGGGCCCUAGAGAGGUCAUCAAGGUUAAACUGCUGUGAGGGAGAGGCGUCCUCAUAAGAAGAGACCCCGAGGGGCCAGGGUCACUGAGGAAAGAGUGUGAGGACCCGGAGAGGGCCCUGGAGAAGCCAGACCUGCAGGCACCUUGAUCCUGAACUUUCAGACUCCAGAGCCGAGAAACACGCGCCCGCGCUUUCCUGCCCCCUCUGAGGUGCUGGUGAGGAGCCCUGCUGACUCGCCGUGCUCGACAGGUGGGGCCGCAGCUGCAGCUUCCUCUGAACCACGUAUCAGAUACCCAGAAGCCAGAGCCGAGCCCUCAGCCUGAGCCUUGGAUGUGUGUGUGGCAGGGAAGUUUCCCCUCGAGCUGGUCGCAUCCACCAUGACCCUCCUGGGCUCUGCGUCUGAGGCUCUUGCUGGGGCCGCGGGAGCCAGCACAGCCUGAGUUCAGGCACAGCUGCCUCGGCCGGAAGUGCCUGGGAGCCAGUGGCCCUGUGCAGAUCCAGUUGUCCCUGCCUUCUGCACAGCUCCUCAUUGGCUGCUCCUCCUCCCCUCUCACACCCCCCUGUCCCACCCCAAAUGCCUGAGUCCUGGAUGGCCUCCCAGAUAAACUUCAGGCCUCACAAUCUGCCGUGGAGGGGAACAGACUAAGGCACAUGAGAAAGCAAGCUGGGGUGCUUUCUUACUAUUCUGAUUCAGGGUUUUUAACUUUGUUUUAAUAGGUUUCAUUAUUUAGAGCAGUUUGGGGCUUCACAGCAAAACUGAGAGGAAGGUACAAAGAUCUCUCCACGCUCGCCCCUACUUGUUCAUAGCCUCCUCAUCUUGACAGACGUGUAGGUGACAUGCGUCUUCUGUUACAGCACCCUGCGGAAGUGUCUCUGCCCUCGUAUGCUGUGUUCCGCCCCGCCACACCUCCCUUACCCUAGCCCCUGGUGACCACCAAUCUUCACUGUCUUAGUCUUGCCUCUUCCUCAAGGUCACCUGGCUGCAGUGAUACAGUACAGAGCCUUUUCAGAUUGGCUGCAUUGACUUAGCAACGUGCAUCUACAGUUCCUCCACAUCUGUUCACGGUUUGUGGCUCCAGGUGACUUGGGGUCUGGUGAUGAUUUAUUAGAUUCAGCACCAGGGGCCUGGCCCACCGAAGAAGCUGUGGAUGAGCCGGACUUCAGUCUUUAGCUCUGUGAGGGACUGCCAGUGCCAAGCCGCAGACUGGGAGAAACUAUUUCCCAAAUACAUGUCUGAUAGAGAGAUCUGUUACCCAAAAUACACAGUGAACUCCUAAAGCCCAGCAGUAAAGAAAAAUUUUAAAUGCACGAAGGACUUCAACAGGUAACGUCACCAAAGUUGACAAAUAGGAAAAGAUGUUCCACAUCAUGUCAUCAGGGAAAUGCAGAUUAAAACAACGAGGUGGCACUGCUCACAUGUUAGGAUCACAGGGGCUGGCGAGGAAGCGAAUCCACGGAAACUGCUUCCAUCCCUGGCUGGGGCUGCAGAACGGUGCAGCCACCUAGGGGCACAAUUUCUUCCACAACUCUGAACAUCACAGUCUGGGGUCCAGCUUCGUGCUCACCAGCAUUACACCUUCAGGAGUGGGGACCCGCCACACAGCUCUGCACCGAAUUUGCUGCAGCCUUAUUCCUCAUUGCUACGUCCUGGAGGAACUGAGAUGCCCUUCACGACGUGAGUGGAGGGAGCACCAUGGGCCUCCAGACUCAGCACUAGCAAGUGUGGACCUGUGCACACACACAUAUGCUCCGGGGCACUGAGCAGCCUCCUAGCCGCAGAGCCCAGAUGCUGGUCACGGGGAAGAUGGCAGAGCUGAAGCCAUGGCCCCUGCCUGGACUGGAGAACUGGAGCUGAGCAGCCCUGGCUUCAAAUCCCAGCUCUCAGCCUCUCCAGCAGGGCGGUCUUGGGGGGCAUAUGACCCACCGGGUCCUCACUGGAGCAAUGUGGAAGUGGAAACAGCCCAGCCAUGGAUGUGCUGAGCAGAAGGCACACGAAUGUCCCUAGGAGCAAGGAUACGGGGAGCCCACAGUCUCCGGCAGCAGCACCUCCAGAGCUGCUCCAGGCAGCCCCCAGCCAAGGACUGAGGCCAACGGGGUCCCAGAGCCAGGCCACUCCCGUUGCACAGCCUUCCCUGGGGGACACCCCGCAGGCUGGCUGGGGUCAUCAGAUCUGCACUGCAGCUGAGCUCUCCCUGCCCGGCCACCGCCUGCCUUCCUGUGCCCUACAGGCCCGCCUUGGCACCAGGCUUCUCUCCCCAGGUCCUCGGGGUGGCCCAGGCUGUUCCACUGUGACCAACAGAAACAGAGCCUGGCUACUGAAUACAAAUUCAUCCAAGUGCUACUCGAGGGACACUAAGAGAAGUUACCGAGAAGCCAAAGCAUGGGCUCUGAAAAGAUGGGAGUCCAGCCGUUCCCAGUCUCCUGGAACGCGUGAGCUCUUCUUUUUCACGACAUCACUGUUGACACCAGCAAGCUGCAGUCACCCUGAGGUGCUUGUAACAUCCUCCUCGGGGGUCGGAUUCCUAGGAGAAGUGUCCAGUUGGCCUCAAGGUGGUGGGGCAUUCUGGAAAGUCACGGUCUUCCCCAGGUGGACACUUGGACUGUGUCCAAGCAAGAUGGUGGUGCCUGUCAUCGGAAGGCAAGAAGACCCGCCAGGUGGCUGGCUCGACCACAGAAUUCCACAGACCAUAAUGGGAGAAGGGAAAUGCACCCUACCUAGGUUCCUGCCAGGAGCCCAAGGCGAUGUAUCGCUGUAUGAUCAGCUCGACGUGACCAUAGCCAUCUUGAGGUUUCCCCAAAGUCAGCCUAGCUGGGUGACCAGCAGACUACAACCAGACAAAACGAGCGGGAUACGGAGCUUUACAAGAGACGUUGGUGUCCGCACUGUGCCUGGCUCUGACACUGACUGACGAGAAACCAGGUCCUUUCUGGGAGGGACGAAAUCUCUUUGUCCUGAUCCAUGAUGAGUGCCCUCCUCCGUCUGACCCAAAUCAUGGGAUCCAACUGGUCUCACUGCCACCUGCCACCCAGGACCACACUUCUGUCAGCGCUGCCCCCAGUAAACUGCGCCCAGUGCGGUCCUAGGUCUGCCUGCCUGUCUUUGCUCUCAUGGCACCCAGGGCUGGUUAUAGAGCAGGAGUGGGUUGUUCUAGAGCAAUCUGCAGUGCAUUUCCACCUGGUCACUCCUGCCUGGACCACCAUCCACUCUCCCCCUGAGAAUCUGAGUUUCUUGGGCUCAGGAUCAUUAUGCCCCAUCUCAGUUUGUAUCCCCCAGACAUUGUUGUCAAUAAGGAGUGGAGAAGACGUACUCAACUUUCAACACUUUCAGACACCCUUGUUUGGAAUAUAAUCAGCUGCUUCUCUUUCCUCUUAAAGUGCACUGGGAGGCUGAGGCAGGAGGAUUGCAAGUUCAAGGCCAGCCUGGGCAACUUAGUAUCUGCUCAAGACCCUGUUUCAAAACAAAUAAAAAGGGUUGGGGAUGUAGCUCAGCGUGAAGGCUUCAAGUUCAAUACAGAGAGAGUCAGAGAGACCCCCUCAGCUGCCCGGUGCUUCCUUUCCAAGAUGGAGCACCCUCGGCCCUGAGUGUACCCUUCUCAUCAUGAACCCCUUGGAGAUCCUGGGUUUACUGGGACCUUCAAGGCUAUGUCAAAUUCCGAUGGCUCUUCAGAUUGAAGUUCCUCAUCCCACAGAAAGGGACUCCUGAUGGCUGGGGGCUUCACUAACUUGUGGAAGGCAGAGACCCCUGUCCUGGGGAGCCAUUGCAGGGGACAGGGCACCCCGGCCUCACCCUCUGGGGAGUCUUCACCUUUAAAGGCUAAAGGCUGCUCUCUGCCCAUGCUUGACCCUCUACAUGGCGCUUUCUGUGGGCUCCGCUUGUUUCUGCUUCAGUUGCCCCAGGGUCAAGCCGGAAGUAGAGUCAAGGCCCUCACAGGGCCCUCAUCUGAUGACAGACAGGGAGCUGCCAGGGAACUGCACCAGCUCCCUGGGCCCCUGGGGGGGGCCUCUCCCCUCCCUCCUUGGCCGCCCCAAAUCCCUCAGCAGAACCGGGAUCCCCUGACCCGCAUUAGUCACUUGAAAGUGACCGUCACCCUCAGCCUGCCCCCACCUCGCUCUGCCGGUGUCUCCUCGUCACCGCGUCUCCCUCUGUUCCCCCAGAAGCACAAGGCUGACCAAAGGGUACGAGGGUUUCAAUAAGAAAUUAUUACAACAGGAGACACUUCGCAUGAGUCCUCCCCUCAGUUGGAACACCCUCAUCCCAUUCUUCUUGGCACUUUCUGGAGUAGCUCUGGAAGUCCUUUUGUGUGAGUGUCUUUACCAGGUGUGAUCAAAAAUACAGUGAAUGUGGCUGCCGAGCACCGUCCAACAGAAAGGCAGCUCGUAAAACACGACACUGUCUCCUCAUCCACCUAUUCACCUAUUCACCGGAUCUGGCACCGUGUGACUUCCGGCUCCUCCCUAAGUCAGUGAGCAUGAAAGGGAAAUGCUUUGAAUCCAUUCAGGACAUGGAGGGAGAUAUGGCAGCACCAGAGACAUUGAGGAAGGAGGACUCUGGAGCUGAUGCGGAAAGUGGCGAGGACAGUGGGAUGAGUGUGUGUGAAGUGAGGGCAAGGAUUCUGAGGGAGGUUCAUGGCAGUGUGUCUUUUAACUGUAGUAAUUAUUUUAAGUUUAAACAUUCACCGUACGUUUUGAUGACACCUUGAAGUCAAAGCCCCUCUUUUUUCAGUUCAUUUCUGCCCAGAAAGACUUGGAGAGCUGGGGUGUCCUCGCUGUAGGCAGGACGUGCAGCCGAAGUUCUAGACAGAGCCCCCUGGUCAGCGGGAGUACCUGCCUGGGAGGACCCCCAGCUCCCGUGACCUGACCCGCAGCCGGGCCCUGUGUCCAGCAGCAGGCCUUCCCUGGGCCGCAGGGUGCUGGAGGAGGCUGCGGUGGAAAGAGGCAGAUGCCAACAGCCUUUUGCUGCCUGUCUGCACAUUUCUCACUGACAGGCUACCGGGGGUGUAGCACUAUUUUUAUUUAAAAUGCCAGUUACCAUAGGAACAGCCACAUGACCCAAUACUUAGAUUCUAAGUCACACAGAAAAUACCCUUGGGAAAGGAGAGCGAGCAGCCAGUGCGUGCCGUGCCGGGAGGAAGAAGGCUCCCCCCACCUCCCAGCCUGCCCAGGCCUCCUGCCUCCCUGGCACCAGCCAGGGCCAGCGAUGGGGACAACUGCACUCCACCCAUGGCCCUGUGAGCUGCAGCUCUUCCCAGAGCCAGGUGCCCUCUCGGGUGGCCCCAGCUGCAGGUCAGGGGCCCCACACAGCUGGGGACAAGGUGCCGAGACCCCUCCCACAGCCCCACCCAGUGAUGGCCUCCCGGCCGGCAGGCCAGGUCCCAGCUCCAGCACGACAGUGGUUUCCUCCUCCUCCUUUAGCAAAGCCCAGGGCUGGCGAUGCCAGCAGGGAUGCAGAGGACCCUGCACCCCUCUGAGGCCCGGGAGGCUUUGAGCAGUGGGUGCCGUAGCCCCACAGCGCUGCGGCUGGGUCACCAGCUCCUAUGACAUCAUCAGGCUUUUCGUGAGAAUUGUGUAUGAUUAUAAGUCCCCUGAUCCCUGAGCACCCGGUGGUCAGUAAUUGCUAAUGUUAUUGUGGGAUAUGAUGGGCAGUGAACAUUGUAUGAGUCUGUUUUUCAUUAUUGUAGCAAAAUACAUAAGGCAGGCUGACUUUAUAAGUUUUCUACCCUCUAGGUAUCUUCCUGAAAGAGUUAAAGACAUCAUGUUACAGUGAUCCAUAAUACUCAUUAUAGCAACACAGUUCAUAAUAGGUAAAUCUUGGAAGUGGCUUCUAUGUUCAUCAACAGAUGAGUGGAUAAAGAAAACAUGUUUACACGCAAUGGAGUACUACUCUGCCAUAAAGAAGCGUAGACUUGAGUCAUUUGUAGGAAAAUGGAUGCACCUUGAGACCCUAAUGCUAAGUGAAGUAAAUCAGAUACACAAGCUUAAAUGAUGUAAGGUUUCUCUUACACGAGAAACCCAAAAUACAGCGGCACCUCGGUUCAUGGACACUUUCUUUGGCAGUUUGGUUCAUAAACAGACGCGUUUGGCGAAAUUGUGUUUUUGUUUCCAAACUCUGCAUCAGAUGACAAACACAACCCUGGCCCUCUUUCCCACACAAACACAAAUGUGGCCGCCUUUUCCAAAAUCGUAGAAUGAAUUAAGUUUGUGAACUGAGGUGCCAGUGUGUAAAAGAGCAAAGUAAAAUGUAGAUGAUCGGAAAUAGGGAGAUCUUUUUCAAAUGAGAAGGGGAAGGGAUGGAGCGAGGGGGAAGAGAAGGGGUAGGGAACAAGAAUUGAAGGAGGAGAGUGGAAAGGGCACUUUUGCAAAAGGAAAGGGGGCCAAGACUUGGA